rnacentral:tRNA from 1 species
GGCCCGCUAGCUCAACUGGCAGAGCAAGUGACUCUUAAUCACUGGGUUGGGGGUUCGAUUCCCUCGCGGGUCA